CUUUGUGAUGUGGGCCCUGUAGUGUGAGGUGGUUUCGCAUCCUCUUUGUGAUGUGGGUCCUGUGGUGUGAGGUGGUUUUUCUUCCCCUUUCUCAGGAGGGC